rnacentral:rRNA from 1 species
UCGAGAAUCUUCGGCAAUGGGCGAAAGCCUGACCGAGCGACGCCGCGUGCGGGAUGAAGGCCCUCGGGUUGUAAACCGCUGUCAGAGGAAUGGAAAUAUUGGGGGGUUCUCCCCUCAGUUUGACUGAUCCUCAGAGGAAGUACGGGCUAAGUUCGUGCCAGCAGCCGCGGUAAGACGAACCGUACGAACGUUACUCGGAAGCACUGGGCUUAAAGGGUGCGUAGGCUGUCCGGUAAGUUGGGUGUGAAAGCCCUCGGCUCAACCGAGGAAUUGCGCCCAAUACUGUCGGACUUGAGGGAGACAGAGGUGAGCGGAACUUAGGGUGGAGCGGUGAAAUGCGUUGAUAUCCUAAGGAACACCAGUGGCGAAAGCGGCUUACUGGGUCUCUUCUGACGCUGAGGCACGAAAGCUAGGGGAGCGAACG